UACGUAGGGUGCAAGCGUUAAUCGGAAUUACUGGGCGUAAAGCGUGCGCAGGCGGUUUUGUAAGUCAGAUGUGAAAAUCCCCCGGGGCUUAAACCUGGGAACUGCGUUUGAAACUACAAGGCUAGAGUGUGGCAGAGGGGGGUGGAAUUCCACGUGUAGCAGUGAAAUGCGUAGAGAUGUGGAGGAACACCGAUGGCGAAGGCAGCCCCCUGGGUUAACACUGACGCUCAGGCACGAAAGCGUGGGGAGCAAACAGG
rnacentral:rRNA from 1 species